UUGAAAUUUUGCAGGGUUGUUGAAAUCAAAUUUAGGGACUUUACUGACGGGACUCUGGGCUGGCUGCUCUGUUCACUCGUCAGCGCAAGUGGCGUGACCAUGUAAUUGGGGCACGGGGCCGGCGCGGCGCGCUGCGGGCUUGCAGAAUUUUGUUUGUUUGUUUGGCCGCGCGCUGGCGCAGCCACGGGCCGCAGUUACUGGGGCGCGCUGUCGUAACAAGCCGCGCGGUGUGGCCUGCACAUUGGGGUAGAGGGGGGGUAGUCUUCCCAGAUGUUCUAGUUAGUUGUUUAGUAAAUUUGACUUCAAUAACGAGCUUUUGUUAUGGUAGGCGCGGCAGGGCGCGCGAAUUUAAGCGCAAGUGAGUGGUGACUCGGGGCUCACUCAGGCGGAGGCUAUGCGUCUCACCUGUGGCCACGAGUUGUUAGUUCGUUCGUGAUGUAGGAAUUCAGGCUCACUCAGGCGGAGGCUAUGCGUCUCACCUGUGGUCACGAGUUGUUAGUUCGUUCGUGAUGUAGGAAUUCAAGCUUUCGGGCAGAAGCUAUGGCCGACGCCAGAGGCCACGAGUCGUUUAAUUUAAGUUAGGUCAUAAUGUAGUCAUCUUCAAGCUUUCGGGCGGAGGCAAUGGCCUUCGUCACUAGUCGUUUAGUUAUAAUUUUUAAAAUGUAAUGUUCGUUCGGAUUUUAAGGGCAGGAGAGGCCCCUACGUUAGUUUUAAGUAAUCGAUCAAGAAAGGCUUUUCGGAAAAUGUGAGUAUGGACUUAUCUUUGUUUUAAUUUUAAGUAUUAAUUAUGAUUUGAGGUAUUCGGAAGGACUAGGGAAGUGUUUAGUGAAGUUCUCUCAUUCUCUCUCUUGUAAGGUCGUUCAAUCGUUAAGGAAGUAAAGAGAUUAUUGUUUUAAAUUGUAAUCCCGCUAUUUAAAUGUUCUUUAAAAUGAUGUUGAGUAUUUGACUUUAAGAAUAAAAUAAUUUUAAUUAAGUAUUAUGUUAUUUUGCAAAAUCUCCUUAGUUCAGCUCUCACCAGACAUCCUGUACGGGAUGACGAACCUAUGAUCCUAGGUACAGUAAAGUAUUUUAUGAAGUUAAGACUAGUUGAUGCCAAGCGAGUUGUUUCUAUGUAAAGAGCUACGAUUCUCGCCCCCCCCCCUCUGAAGGUGGAUCGUGACAGAAAUGGUGAGGCGCCGGGUAGGUUCUAUUUCUGGAGAGAGAGAGAGGUAGAUUUUUAUGUUUAUUAUUAAGUUAGUUUCAGCUUCUGAUAGCAGGUUACUAAGAGUUUACUUGAGGAGAGGAUUACGGAAUUUUAGUCUAUAGUGGAGGAAGUCUUUGAGAUUUUUUUUUUGACGUAACAGAUGUUUAUUUGAGGAUACUUGUAAGGAUAAAGUUUAUAGUGAUAAGUUGUUUUAAGUCGUUGAAUUUAUUGUAGAUUUAUAUCGGGGAUUAUUACGUGAGGAGAAUACGUUAUAAGUUAAAUGCUUAUUAGAGAUAAUGCAAGUGGUUUAAUUUAAUUGAAGUUCAUUUUAAGAUUGUAGGUUAAGAGAAUUAUAAUUUAAAAUAAAGUUUUUUGUCGUAAAUAGGAAUUAUUUUCAAGAGAAGUUUGUUUUGUUUUCGUGCGCGUAGGAGACGAGACGUACGAAUUAAAUCAGUCGAGGGAAGGAUAAACGUUAGAAAGGAAUUAAAGAGAAAACGAGAGUUUAUGUAAAAGAGAGUUAUAGAAUUUAUAGUGAUGUUUUGUUUUAAUUAGAAAAAUGUUGAGAGUUGUUUCAGAACGACACGUCAGUGGACGUGGCAGAGUGAACACGUGACGGGGAGGUGCUGAGACCUAGCGGAGAACGGAGGAACCGCAAGCGAGGGUUGGCGCACCUGAUGGAAUUCGGUGACGUCACGGGCUCAUACGGAGACGUGGACAGGCCGUGACCUUGUUUUGAUCAGCUGUACGGUAACUUAGCGAUAAGAAAAUAGACUAUUGGUUAAAUAAAUUUAAAUUUAAGUGUGUUUUAGAAGAAGAGGAACUUUCAGUAUGUAAGUAAUUUAAUUUAAGAAGUGUAUGAUGUAUAGGCUAGAAGUGUUUCGUUGUAAGUUGUUUAUGUUUUUGUUAGUUAAAUACUACCUCGGUUUUAAAAAUAUUUUUUUGGGAUUUGUAAACAUUAUUAAGGAGGUACACUAUAAAAUCGAUAAGCAUUGAGAAAACUGGGAAGGCUAGAUUUUGUGUGUAGAGGGAAUUUACUCCAAAAGAACAGAGAGACAAAAUUAAUGUUUUCAUUAGGGCGAGGGACCCUAAGGUGAGGCGUUGUGUCCCUGGGAAGAAAGGGAAUUGUAGCGCAGACCAUAGGAGAUGGGCUGACUACGGAAUUAAGGGUCAGGAGAAUCCUGAGAGUUGUGAGUAGUUUGGGGCAGGAGUUCCCCAUGGUAGUACCGAAGUGGCUAUCCUGUAUGGGAUAGGGUACCAUUUCAAUGAAGUUUGUUGGUGGGGUUAGAGCCCCCUGUGUAGUGGGCCUAUAGCAGAUAGGCACUACAGUGAAAUUUUUGGUUAUUUUGUGAGGUAAAUUCCCUGGAGGUUAAGUAAGAUUGGAUUCAGUUAGGAAGGAGGGAAAUGAGAAACAUUGCUGUAGAGAGUUAGUGUACUUGCCUAAUGUGAAAUUGAAUUUUACUAAAUUAAUUUAGGAGAAAGUUUUGUUCGGUAAAUAAAUAAUAAUGGAAGAUAGCUAGAUAAUUAAUUAAUUUUUUUUUGAGUAAGGUGUUUUAAGUAAUGAAAUAAAAUAAGGUGAAGUAAUUUGAAUAAUUGGGGAGGAGUUUCUUUAAGAGUUUAGAUAAUUGUUUUUGAAUUUAUUGAGAUAUUCAGCCAGUGAAGUUUGAGUGUGAGAGAUACAGUGAGAUUUUAAGGAAAUCGGUUGUUUAUUAAUUAGGACAAAUGAGAUUUUAUGAUUAAGAGUCAGUAAGCAUAGUUAAAAUUUACGACAUGAUAUUUGUUGACAGUUUACAGUUAUUAAGGAGAAAACAGAGUAAUCUAUUUAUUUUUAUUUUAAUGGUUUGAAGAUAAGAUUAUGAAUUUUUUUUGGAAGUUUCUUUGGCAUGUUGGAAUAAUUUUUUUUGAUUUUUAGAAUUUACAGAGAAAAUUUAAUUGAUUUACAUUAGUUUGGAAGUAUGGAGGUUUAAUGUUCGAUUAGCCCUAACUUGAUGGUCGGAUCCCAAAAGAAUGCCGUAAAACCGAUAGCCAAUUGAGAGGAAUGCGGUAGGCGCUUGUGUAGAGAGGGGUUGUGGGAAAACUCCUUGGGACUGAUGGCAGAUCAGGGGCCCUAAAUAGUGUGUGAUGCUGUAAAACCAGUGCAGAGAAAGCCUGGUAUGCUUAAAUUUUUGGGCACAGGUUAUGUAAACCUGGGGUUCCAUGGGAUUUAGUCAUGUUAGCUGCUGUGGGACAUUGAGAUUUCCAGGCUCCAUAGUAAAUUCAAUGUAAAUUUUUGUUUUCUUAAAAUAAUAAAUUUGUUUUUAAUUUUUUUUGAGAUAUUUGAUUUGUAACAGUGAAUACAGACCCCGAGGAAUAAGAGUUGUCAUGCUGUGAGAGGAGAAGGUGGUAGGCCUAAAAGGGUACAGGCACCACAGAGGUUAUGUGCAUUGCAUAAUUUAAAUAUAAGGAAACUUGAGAAUUUGAAAUUUUGUUGUUGGUUUGUACACCCAUAAGAAGAGUAUAGGCAGAAUUUUUAUUGUUAUGAGAUGUCUAAUUUAAUUGAAAAGAAGAAAGUUUAAAGAUGCAAGGUAACAUUAUUAUUGUAAUAAUUGAAAGAGAUUAAGAGGUAGAGAGAAAUAGGCAGUUUUUGUUUGUAAGUACUAAAGUUUACAAAUAGAAAUUUAGUAACUAAGAAUGAAUAAUAAGUUAAGUCUAGUGUAAAAGUUUUUUUUAAGUUUGUUAAGUUAAGAGUCACAAGUAAAUUUUUUUUUAGAGAGAAUGUCUUUGAUAGGAAGUAUUAGAAACUUAUGGGAAUUUUAGGGUAACAUAAAUAAUGUAGGUAAUGAAUAAUAAAUAGAUGGUAGGUCUUAAGUUAGGAUUAACAUUUGAAGCAGAAUUUAAUUAAGAAGAAGGAAAAUAAAUAGGCCUAAUGAAAAGAACAAAAAAGGAUUUUAUGAUUCCUUAAGAUGAGCUGAGCAGCAGUCCAGUUUACAAGAUGACAAGAGUUCGAGAGACAAGAUACAAGAUCACUGAAACAAGAGCCAAGACUGAAGAUUCAAGAGAAGAGAAAGCUGGCAGCCAUGGACUUACAAGUGGAGAUUAAUAAGGUCAUGUAAAGUUUUAUUUUUUUUUAUGGAAGACAGUAACUGGAGUUUUUUUUUGUUAUAAACAUUAUUUACAGAACUUUUUAGGUUAUAGUAAUGUAAUGGAACUAGUGAGUUGUGGUAGCUGUCAAAAAGAACUAAUACCUUAAGUUUAAUUUUUAAAGUUAAUUUUCUUAAUUUACAGAGGGAUUAGUAGUUUUUUUUUAAACCUUAUUUAGGUUGGAAUUUAAAUACAAUAGCUUAUUAUAAAUGUGUACGAACAGUUCAAGUUCACAGUACUGAUAGGUAGGUCAGAUGAUCUUAUUGAUUUUGAUGAUUUGUUGUUUUGAGUUGAUUUUUAAGUGUUGUGAAUUAGACAAUGAAAUAGUUCUGAAAACUUAAAUUAUUUCAAGCUAAGAAAUAGUAAAGUUAAUUGUAACUCAAAGGACACCAGAAUUUAAUUUUUUUUUAAUUAGUAAUGUUUGAAAAUUUUAUACUUUACAAGAAAGGUUAUAAACAAACAGAUCGGAUGGAACAAGGAUGCAGUAAAUCACAAUUUCAUUUAGAAUUAUUGAUUAGCUUUUGAGGUUAUGAAGUAAAAGUAAUUAUAAUUUAAAAGUUUGAAUAAAAAAAUGUUUUUUUUAUUUGUUUGAAAUAGAAAAUUUAAAAGUUAAUUAGUCAUGAUCUAGGUGGGUGAUGGGGUGGGAAUUGGCCACUCUUUUUCCCUAUAACCUCCCUAACAUGGCCUUCUAUUACAACUAACAGAAAUAAAGAAGAAGAAAAAUGAAGAAUUAUUAGUUAGAAUGUUUCUUUCAUGAAGAUACCUGAUGAACUUUUACUGUUUGGAAGAAUAGAAGCAAGGUUAGUCAGAUAUUUUUACUCAGAAGAAGAAGAAGAUAAAGCAGUUUUAUGACUCGACAAGCCAGAGAUUGGUGUUUCCCCUCUGCGCUUCUAUUGACUACGUUGUUUACUCUCAUGGGAUAGCUGGUUCGGCACCAUGGAGAGAGAUUGGUGGGCAUUGUGGUUGCCCCCAGAAGAAAAGAAGAGUAGAAGAGGUUAUGGGUGGGUCAUGUGAACUGACCUUCAACCCAGUUACUUCGUGGGGACUAUUUGCUGUAUAGAGAAGAUCAAGACUCAAGAGUUAGGGAAAAUCAUUGGAGGUCAUGUUUCCCUUCCUUAAGUUUUUCCUAUCAAAUUAUUUGCCUGAUUAGAUUAUGCUAAGGGUGGGAUACUUUAUGUUAGCAGUUGAAUUAAUUAAUUUUAUUUUUUUGUGUGUUUGCAUCCUUGCCCAUCGAUUGCAGUUUAGUAGUUAGUUUUGUAUUUGUCAGGCGUGAUGGUAAUGCCUGUUGAUGAUGUUUCAGAAUUGUAAUCUGUUCGUGAUGAGGAUGGCACAACUCCGAAGCAGAUGUGGGGAGAAGUUGUGAGCUGCCCUGGAAGCCAGUCCAGUAGCUGUUGGAGUUGAGUGGUGUUUGCUGAUGGCCAGCCCAGGGAGCUACUCUUCUCGACAACACUGACUUCGAGGAGUUGCACCAACCUUCACGAGAUAAGAGUUUAAUUAAUUGAAACACUGUAAGGACACUUAAUUUUUUUUGAAGAACGAAAGAAGUAUGGUAAUAAACGGAAACCGAAAAAAAAAAAUAAUAAUAAUUAUCAAGAAUUUGCACAUUGUUUAACGAAUACUGAGAAACUAAGAACAGUAAUUUAAUUUGUAAAGAGAGCUUCACUAACAGAACAAUUUUUUUAGAAUUGAGAACUCGAGCCUCUGAAGGUUCCUGUGAGAACAAACCAGAUAAAAGUUUUACAUUUAAUUUUAUGAAUACUUGUUGUUUUAAAAUAAAUCUUAUGCAGAAUCUAGAUGUAUGUUCAGACAGCAAGGAACUAAGAAAAUUAUUAUUUUUGUGAAAUGAGGAAUUUAUAGUUAUGGUUUAAUGGAAAAAGACAAUUUGUAAUUUUGAGGUAGCUCGAUGGGGCUCGAGCUCUGUGAGGGGAGGGUUAUGUCGCGGGUUGAAAUUUUGCAGGGUUGUUGAAAUCAAAUUUAGGGACUUUACUGACGGGACUCUGGGCUGGCUGCUCUGUUCACUCGUCAGCGCAAGUGGCGUGACCAUGUAAUUGGGGCACGGGGCCGGCGCGGCGCGCUGCGGGCUUGCAGAAUUUUGUUUGUUUGUUUGGCCGCGCGCUGGCGCAGCCACGGGCCGCAGUUACUGGGGCGCGCUGUCGUAACAAGCCGCGCGGUGUGGCCUGCACAUUGGGGUAGAGGGGGGGUAGUCUUCCCAGAUGUUCUAGUUAGUUGUUUAGUAAAUUUGACUUCAAUAACGAGCUUUUGUUAUGGUAGGCGCGGCAGGGCGCGCGAAUUUAAGCGCAAGUGAGUGGUGACUCGGGGCUCACUCAGGCGGAGGCUAUGCGUCUCACCUGUGGCCACGAGUUGUUAGUUCGUUCGUGAUGUAGGAAUUCAAGCUUUCGGGCAGAAGCUAUGGCCGACGCCAGAGGCCACGAGUCGUUUAAUUUAAGUUAGGUCAUAAUGUAGUCAUCUUCAAGCUUUCGGGCGGAGGCAAUGGCCUUCGUCACUAGUCGUUUAGUUAUAAUUUUUAAAAUGUAAUGUUCGUUCGGAUUUUAAGGGCAGGAGAGGCCCCUACGUUAGUUUUAAGUAAUCGAUCAAGAAAGGCUUUUCGGAAAAUGUGAGUAUGGACUUAUCUUUGUUUUAAUUUUAAGUAUUAAUUAUGAUUUGAGGUAUUCGGAAGGACUAGGGAAGUGUUUAGUGAAGUUCUCUCAUUCUCUCUCUUGUAAGGUCGUUCAAUCGUUAAGGAAGUAAAGAGAUUAUUGUUUUAAAUUGUAA